CUAUGCGCCUUGCCAGCCCGCUCAGGUGUGCCAGCAGCCGCGGUAAUACGGAGGAUGCGAGCGUUAUCCGGAUUAUGGUUUAAAGGGUGCGUAGGUGGUUAAUUAAGUCAGCGGUGAAAGUUUGUGGCUCAACCAUAAAAUUGCCGUUGAAACUGGUUGACUUGAGUAUAUUUGAGGUAGGCGGAAUGCGUGGUGUAGCGGUGAAAUGCAUAGAUAUCACGCAGAACUCCGAUUGCGAAGGCAGCUUACUAAACUAUAACUGACACUGAAGCACGAAAGCGUGGGAUCAAACAGG
rnacentral:rRNA from 1 species